GACUGGCUGGCUCAGUUGGUAGAGCAUGUGAUUCUUGAUCUCAGGAUUGUGAGUUUGAGCCCCACGUUGGGUG
rnacentral:tRNA from 1 species